UACGUAGGUGGCAAGCGUUGUUCGGAAUUAUUGGGCGUAAAGGGCGCGUAGGCGGUUUGCUAAGUCAGUUGUGAAAGCCCGGGGCUCAACCCCGGAGGGUCGGCUGAUACUGGUGGACUAGAGUACGGAAGAGGUAGCUGGAAUUCCCGGUGUAGCGGUGAAAUUCGUAGAUAUCGGGAGGAACACCGGUGGCGAAGGCGGCAACCUGGGUAGAGACUGACGCUGAGGCGCGAAAGCGUGGGGAGCAAACAGG
rnacentral:rRNA from 1 species